UGGGUACGAUGUGGGACAAACAAUAAUCAACCGUAGGAGUACAGGAAUAGCCACUUAGCUAAUGCUGAUCCAGUAGGGAAAUGAGUCACGUAGCAAGACCUUCCUGGAAAGGCAGAGGAGUGUGGGUCCAGGUGUACUGGUUCCCACCUAUGUGUCUGGUGUCUGCUGGGCACACUGGACCACUUGGUGCUAGUUACAGUCUAACCUCGAGUUGCUGUAUCUCUGGGUAGAAAUGCAGGGCUGCCUAUUGCAUCUCCAUCCUGAGAGGCCUGGCCUUCUUCAGAUUUGCCUCCAGCCACAAUUCUCAUGUCUUUAUUUUUGUGCUGACUUCCUUGAGGGCCAAGUCCCUCUCAAACUGUAUAUUAAUUUCUCUCUAAUUUGCUGUCUAUACUAAUAGGUACAUUUAUAUACUGUAUAAGUAUUUUAUAGAAUAUGAGUAAUAUGAAUAAACAACAGAUUAUAAAAUCACAUUCUGUUCACACUUCUGCAUGGGUUUAUGUGUCUACACACAUCAUUUGAAGCAGCUUUCCUGAGAGGCAAGGGUAGAAGCAAAGGCUCGGGCUUCUGCGGCAGGAAGGGGCCUAGUGUGGACAGCUGGACACAAGGAUGCCCAGGACAUGGACCAAGGACCAGGCCGGAUGAGGACUCCUCCGUGGCCAUAGCCAUGGCAGGGAAGGGAACCAUGUGGGGGUGAGGGACUCAGAGUACCUGUUUCCUAUUAUUUUGCUGGGUUCAUUGCAGCAAUCGUGAUACUAGGGUGAUCCAGCCUUCCCCACAUAUGUGUGGGCCUGCUCCAGGGUGCUCCUGAGGAGUCCUCCUGACUCCUGUGCCCAGGCGCAGUCAAGGCCCCAUGCACAGCAGGUGUCCCAGCUCAGGAGCUGGGCUGCUAGGUUUCUGCUCAGCUCCCUGGAGGACAGACCCCGCCUCUGCUCCGCCGGGAGUGGCCUGGCUGUGAUCACAUGACUCAAGCAGAACCAAUCAGAUCACAGCCCAAGAUUUUUCUAUAGAAGCUGGUUAAGGAGCCCUUUCUCCUUUGCCACAGCUCCAAGGUAGAGCCAAGAGAGCAUUAGAGCUAUACCAUCUGGCUCUUGGAGAUUCAGGAAGAAGGAUAAAGGCUCUCCUAGGUAUUCCAGGCUGGCCUCAAUCUCACAGCAAUCCUCCAGCAUCAGCCUCCCUAGUGUUGGGAUUAUAGGGCCUUGUGCGGGCUAAGCAGGCGCUGUACCAUUGAACUCCACCCACCUCUGCCUGGAACAUACAUGUGAUGGCUGGAGUGCUGGCAUCCAUCUUAACAAUGAAGUGGACAUAGGACUAAAAGGCCCAAGACUGAAGGAGCUUGAGACAUCGUGAAGAUACAGCCACAAAACUGUCUACUUUCAUACUUCUUGUACAUGAGACAGAAAUAAACUUCUAUCUUGUAUUAGC
ensembl:lncRNA